UAGUUUAGGGUUUAAAACCCUAAUGCUGAUUGCAUGGGAAAAGUUCAGUUUAGGGUUUAAAACCUUAAUGCUGACUAAAGGAAAAAUUCAGUUUAGGGUUUAAAACCCUAAUGCUGAUUGCAUGGAAAAGCUCAAUUUAGGGUUUAAAACCCUAAUGCUGGCUGAAUGGGAAGAGUUCAGUUUAGGGUUUAAAACCCUAAUGCUGACUAAAGGAAAAAUUCAGUUUAGAGUUUAAAACCCUAAUGCUGAUUGCAUGGAAAAGCUCAGUUUAGGGUUUAAAACCCUAAUGCUGGUUGAAUGGGAAAAGUUCAGUUUAGGGUUUAAAACCCUAAUGCUGACUAAAGAAAAAAUUCAGUUUAGGGUUUAAAACCCUAAUGCUGAUUGCAUGGAAAAGCUCAAUUUAGGGUUUGAAACCCUAAUGCUGACUGAAGGAAAAAGUUCAGUUUAAGGUUUAAAACCCUAAUGCUGACUAAAGGAAAAAUUCAGUUUAGGGUUUAAAACCCUAAUGCUGGCUGAAUGGAAAAAAGUUCAAUUUAGGGUUUAAAACCCUAAUGCUGACUAAAGGAAAAAAUUCAGUUCAGGGUUUAAAACCCUAAUGCUGACUGAAAGGAAAAAUUCAGUUUAGGGUUUAAAACCCUAAUGCUGACUGGAAGGAAAAGCUCAGUUUAGGGUUUAAAACCCUAAUGUUGGCUGAAUGGAAAAAGUUCAGUUUAGGGUU
rnacentral:lncRNA from 1 species